UUUCCGUAGGUGAACCUGCGGAAGGAUCAUUAUUGUGUAACCGAGGUGCGAGGGCUGUCGCUGACCCGAAAGGUCGUGCACGCCCGAGUGCCCUCACACACAUCCAUCUCACCCCUAUGUGCACCACCGCGUGGGUCCCCCUUGGGCUUGUUCGGAGGGGGGCUUACGUUUUCACACAAACUUUGUAUGCAGUGUAGAAUGUAUUUUUUGUUUUUGCGAUCACGCAAUCAAUACAACUUUCAACAACGGAUCUCUUGGCUCUC
rnacentral:misc_RNA from 1 species